GCUAUACUAAGGAUGCCCUUAGAUGUCCUGACAGCAGCACAGGGUGGCAUAUGCGCAAUUAUCAAAGCAGAAUGUUGUAUGUACAUCCCAGACUAACACAGAACUGUCACAGAACUAAUAAAAUAUAUGAAUGCCCAGAUUAAGGCUCUACAAGAUCCUUCUCUCUCAGUGAUUGGUUAAGUUCCUGGUUUGAAGGAGGACUAUGGCCAACAAUUAAAUCUCCUUUUCGGGCUUCUCAUUUUUAUCGCCUUAUUAAUCUUAGUAUGUUGUUUUGUUCAUUGUUUCUCUACUUGGUGCCGAGACUCCAUUGCUGCAAUGACGUCACAGC